GUGCCCACUUUGGCAAAAUGAAGUAAAAUUGGCCUGAUACAAAGAAGAUUAGCAUAGGACUUGCAUAAGAUGACACAAAUGUUUUUGAGACAUUCCAUUUUUUC